GCUAGGCCUUACGGGCCCUCUAAUUGUGAUAUUAUCGUCGAGCGCGGCUUAUUGUUAUUGGUCAAUGCCUUUGCCCGCGAAAAAGAGUUGAAAUAAAAAUAGGAAUUGCGUAAAACGGAUAAAUGAGCGUAAAGUUAUGUCGUUUUACGGUUUUACACCUUUGCACCUAAAGCGGAAGGAGGAAAGGUAUUAAGAGAAUUUAGAGUGCAAGGAAUGUCGGAUGCGAUCAUACUAGCACUAACACACCGGAUCCUAUCAAAACUCCAAAGUCAAGCGUUUUACACCUUCGCACUAUAGUAAGUAGUGAGUUUUAAGUAGUGUAAACGAUAUUGUUUUUAAAGCUAAUAGUUAUGAAACAAAAUCAAAAAAGCAAUCUAUAGUAAAUAAGGAAAAUAUUUACGGGCUUAACACCAUUGCACUUGACAUGUCACUAUGCCUUGGCCACGAAGGCGACAUCCGCAAAAUGUCUAGUUGGGAUGUCGUCGUUCCAUGCGGCCUAGUGUGAUAGGCAUGUCUCUAGGCCUUACGGGCCCUCUAAUUGUGAUAUUAUCACCGAGCGCGGCUUGUUGUUGUUGGUCAAUGCUUUUGCCCGCGAAACAUAAUUGCAAUCAAAAGAGGAAUUGCGUAAAAUGGAUAAAUGAGCGUAAAGUUAUGUCGUUUUAAGGUUUUACACAUUCGCACCUAAAGCGGAAGGAGGAAAGGUAUUAAGAGAAUUUAGAGUUCCAAGAAUGUGGGAUGCGAUCAUACCAGCACUAACGCACCGGAUCCCAUAAGAUAUUUUAAGCAGUGUAAACGAUAUAUUAUUUACAUGAAAUAACAAUUCUUUUAAAGCUAAUAGUAAAGAAAAAAAUCAAAAAAGCAAUAUAUAGUAAAUAAGAAAAAUAUUUAUAGUCCUAACACCGUGGCACUUGACAUGUCACUUCGCCUUGGCCUCGAAGGCGACAUCCGUAAUACGUCUAGUUGCGAUGUCAUCGUACCAUGCGGCCUAGUGUGAUAGGCAUGUCUCUAGGCCUUACGGGCUCUCUAAUUGUGAUAUUAUCGUCGAGCGUGGCUUGUUUUUGUUAGUCAAUGCCUUUGCCCGCGAAACAUAGUUGAAAUCAAAAGAGGAAUUACGUAAAACGGAUAAAUGAGCGUAAAUUUAUGUCAUUUUAAGGUUUUACACCUUCGCACCUAAAGCGGAAGGAGGGAAGUUAUUAAGAGAAUUUAGAGUGCAAGGAAUGUCGGAUGCGAUCAUACUAGCACUAACACAACGGAUCUUAUCAGAACUCCGAAGUCAAGCAUGCCUGGGCGAGUGUAGUACUAGGAUGGGUGACCCCUGGGAAGUCCUCGUGUUGCGUCCCUCUUUUUAGGCAAAUUUUAUAUCUUACUUAUUUUAAUAUAUCGGCGGUAGGUCUAAUAAAUUCGCAAAUGAGUUUUAAGCAGUGUAAACGAUAUUUAUUUUACACGAAAUAACAAUAUUUUUAAAGUUAAUAGUUAUGAAAAAAGUCAAAAAAGCAAUAUAUAGUAAAUAAGGAAAAUAUUUACAGUCUUAACACCGUUGCACUUGACAUGUCACUACUCCUUGGCCUCGAAGGCGACAUCCAUAAAACAUCUAGUUGCGAUGCUGUCAUUCCAUGCAGCCUUGUAUGAUAGGCAUGUCUCUAGACCUUACUGGCCCUCCAAUUGUGAUAUUAUCGUCGAGCGCGGCUUGUUGUUGUUGGUCAAUGCCUUUACACGCGAAACAUAGUUGAAAUCAAAAGAGGAAUUGCGUAAAAUGGAUAAAUUAGCGUAUAUUUAUGUCGUUUUAAUAUUUUAAACCUACGCACCUAAAGUGGAAGGAGGGAAGUUAUUAAGAGAAUUUAGAGUUCAAGGAAUGUCCGAUGCGAUCAUACCAGCACUAACACACCAGAUCCUAUCAGAACUCCGAAGUCAAGCGUGCCUGGGCGAGAUUAGUACUAGGAUGGGUGACCCCUGGGAAGUCCUCGUGUUGUAUCCCUCUUUUUAGGGAAAUUUUAUAUCUUACUUCUUUUAAUAUAUCGGCGGUAGGUCUAAUAAAUUCAUAAAUGAGUUUUAAGCAGUGUAAACGAUAUUUGAUUUACACGAAAUAACAAUUUUUUAAAGCUAAUAGUUAUGAAACAAAAUCAAAAAAGCAAUCUAUAGUAAAUAAGGAAAAUAUUUACGGGCUUAACACUAUUGCACUUGACAUGUCACUACGCCUUGGCCACGAAGGAGACAUCCGUAAAAUGUCUAGUUGGGAUGCCGUCGUUCCAUGCGGCCUAGUGUUGUAGGCAUAUCUCUAGGCCUUACGGGCCCACUAAUUGUGAUAUUAUCGCCGAGCGCGGCUUGUUGUUGUUGGUCAAUGCUUUGCCCGCGAAACAUAAUUGCAAUCAAAAGAGCAAUUGCGUAAAACGGAUAAAUGAGCAUAAAGUUAUGUCAUUUUACGGUUUUACACCUUCCCACCUAAAGCGGAAGGAGGAAAGGUAUUAAGAGAAUUUAGAGUGCUAGGAAUGUCGGAUGCGAUCAUAUCAGCACUAACGCACCGGAUCCCAUAAGAUAUUUUAAGCAGUGUAAACGAUAUAUUUUUUUACAUGAAAUAACAAUUCUUUUAAAGCUAAUAGUUAUGAAAAAAAUGAACAAAGCAAUAUAUAGUACAUAAGGAAAAUAUUUAUAGGUUUAACACCAUUGCACUUGACAUGUCAAUACACCUUGGCCUCGAAGGCGACAUCCGUAAAAUAUCUAAUUGCGAUGUCAUCAUUCCAUGCGGCCUAGAGUGAUAGCAAAGUCGCUAGGCCUUACGGGCCCUCUAAUUGUGAUAUUAUCGUCAAGCGCGGCUUGUUGUUGUUGGUCAAUGCCUUUGCCCGCGAAAAAUAGUUGAAAUCAAAACAGGAAUUGUGUAAAACGGAUAAAUGAGCGUAAUGUUAUGUCAUUUUAAGGUUUUACACCUUCACACCUAAAGUGGAAGGAGGAAAGGUAUUAAGAGAAUUUAGAGUGCCAAGAAUGCCGGAUGCGAUCAUACUAGCACUAACGCACCGAAUCCCAUCAGAAUUCUGUAGUUGAGCGUUCUUGGACGAGAGUAGUACUAGGAUUGGUGACCCCCUGAGAAGUUCUCGUUUUGCAUCCCUCUUUUUUGGCAAAUUUUGUAUCUUACUUCUUUCGAUAUAUCAGCGGUAACUCUAAUAAAUUCAAAAAUGAGUUUUAAGCAGUGUAAACCAUAUUGUUUUUACAAGAAUUAACAAUUUUUUUAAAGCUAAUAGUUAUGAAAAAAUCAAAAAAUCAAUAUAUAGUAAAUAAGGAAAAUAUUUACGGGCUUAACACCGUUGCACUUGACAUGUCACUACGCCUUGUCCUCGAAGGCGACAUCCGUAAAACAUCAUGUUGUGAUGUCAUCGUUCCAUGUGGCCUAGUGUGAUAGGCAUGUCGCUAGGCCUUACGGGCCAUCUAAUUAUGAUAUUAUCGUCGAGCGCGGCUUGUUGUUGUUUGUCAAUGCCUUUCCCCGCGAAUAAUAGUUGAAAUCAAAAGACGAAUUGCGUAAACCGGAUAAAUGAGCGUAAAGUUAUGUCAUUUUAAAGUUUUAUACCUUCGCACCUAAAGCAGAAGAAGGAAAGGUACUAAGAGAAUUUAGAGUUCCAGGAAUGUCGGAUGCGAUCAUACCAGCACUAAUGCACCGGAUCCCAUAAGAUAUUCUAAGCACUGUAAACGAUAUUUUGUUUACACGAAAUACAAUUUUUUUAAAGCUAAUAGUUAUGAAAAAAAUCAAAAAAGCAAUCUAUUGUAAAUAAGAAAAAUAUUUACGUGCUUAACACCGUUGCACUUGACAUGUCACUAUGCCUUGGCCUUGAAGGCUACAUCCGUAAAACGUCUAGUUGUGAUGUCGUCGUUCCAUAUGGCCUAGUGUGAUAGGCAUGUCGCAAGGCCUUACGGGCCCUCUGAUUAUGAUAUUAUCGUCGAGCGCGGCUUGUUGUUGUUGGUCAAUGCCUUUGCCCGCGAAAAAUAGUUAAAAUCAAAAGACGAAUUGCGUAAACCGGAUAAAUGAGCGUAAAGUUAUGUCGUUAUAAAGUUUUACACCUUCGCACCUAAAGCGGAAGGAGGAAAGGUUUUAAGAGAAUUUAGAGUGCCAGGAAUGUCGGAUGUGAUCAUACCAGCACUAACACACCAGAUCCCAUCAGAACUCCGUAGUUGCGCAUGCUUGCGCGAGAGUAGUACUAGGAUUGGUGANNNNNNNNNNNNNNNNNNNNNNNNNNNNNNNNNNNNNNNNNNNNNNNNNNNNNNNNNNNNNNNNNNNNNNNNNNNNNNNNNNNNNNNNNNNNNNNNNNNNNNNNNNNNNNNNNNNNNNNNNNNNNNNNNNNNNNNNNNNNNNNNNNNNNNNNNNNNNNNNNNNNNNNNNNNNNNNNNNNNNNNNNNNNNNNNNNNNNNNNNNNNNNNNNNNNNNNNNNNNNNNNNNNNNNNNNNNNNNNNNNNNNNNNNNNNNNNNNNNNNNNNNNNNNNNNNNNNNNNNNNNNNNNNNNNNNNNNNNNNNNNNNNNNNNNNNNNNNNNNNNNNNNNNNNNNNNAAGCAGUGUAAACGAUAUUUUGUUUUACACGAAAUAACAAGUUUUUUAAAGCUAAUAGUUAUGAAUAAAUUCAAAAAAGCAAUAUAUAGUAAAAAUAAGGAAAAUAUUUACGAGCUUAACACUGUUGCACUUGACAUGUCACUAUGCCUUGGCCUCGAAGGCGACAUCCGUAAAAUGUCUAUUUGCGAUGUCGUCAUUCCAUGCGGCAUAGUGUGAUAGGCAUGUCGCUAGGCCUUACGAGCCCUCUAAUUGUGAUAUUAUCGUCGAGCGUGGCUUGUUAUUAUUGGUCAUUGCCUUUGCCCGCGAAAAAUAGUUGAAAUCAAAAGAGGAAUUGCGUAAAACGAAUAAAUGAGCAUAAAGUUAUGUCGUUUUAAGGUUUUACACCUUCGCACCUAAAGCGGAAGGAGGAAAGGUAUUAAGAGAAUUUAGAGUGCAAGGAAUGUCGGAUGCGAUCAUACCAGCUCUAAUGCACCGGAUCCCAUCAGAACUCCGUAGUUGAGCGUGCUUGGGCGCCCCCUGGGAAGUCCUUGUGUUGCAUCCCUCUUUUUAGGCAAAAUUUGUAUCUUACUUCUUUUAAUAUAUCGGCUGUAGUUCUAAUAAAUUUACAAAUGUGUUUUAAGAAGUGUAAACGAUAUUUCUUUUUACACGAAAUAACAAUUUUUUAAAGCUAAUAGUUAUGAAUAAAAUCAAAAAGCAAUAUAUAAUAAAUAAGGAAAAUAUUUACGGGCUUAACACUGUUGCACUUGACAUGUCACUACGCCUUGGCCUCGAAGGCGACAUCUGUAAAAUGUCUAAUUGCGGUGUCGUCGUUCCAUGCGGCCUAGUGUGAUAGGCAUGUCGCUAGGCCUUACGGGCCCUCUAAUUAUGAUAUCAUCGUCGAUCGCGGCUUGUUGUUGUUGGUCAAUGCCUUCACCUGCGAAAAUUAGUUGAAAUCAAAAGAGGAUUUGCGUAAAACGGAUAAAUGAUCGUAAAUUUAUGUCAUUUUAAGGUUUUACACCUUCGCACCUAAAGCGGAAGGAGGGAAGGUAUUAAGAGAAUUUAGAGUGCAAGGAAUGUCGGAUGCGAUCAUAUCAGCACUAUCACACCGGAUCCCAUCAUAACUCCGUAGUUGAGCAUGCUUGGGCGAGAGUAGUACUAGGAUUGGGGACCCCCUGGGAAGUCCUCAUGUUGCAUCCCUCGUUUUAGGAAUAUUUUGUAUCUUACUUCUUUUAAUAUAUCGGCGGUAGGUGUAAUAAAUUCACAAAUGAGUUUUAAGCAGUGUAAACGAUAUUUUGUUUACAAGAAAUAAUAAUAUUUUUAAAGCUAAUAGUUAUUAAAAAAAUCAAAAAUGCAAUAAAUAGUAAAUAAGGAAAAUAUUUACGGGCUUAACACCGUUGCACUUGACAUGUCACUACGCCUUGGCCUCGAAGAUGAUAACUAUAAAACGUCUAGUUGCGUUGUCGUCGUUCCAUGCUGCCUAGUGUGAUAGGCAUGUCGCUAGGCCUUACGGGCCCUCUAAUUGUGAUAUUAUCAUCGAGCGCAGCUUGUUGUUGUUGGUCAAUGCCUUUGCCCGCGAAAAAUAGUUGAAAUCAAAAGAGGAAUUGCGUAAAAUGAAUAAAUGAGCAUAAAGUUAUGUCGUUUUAAUGUUUUACACCUUCGCACCUAAAGCGGAAGGAGGAAAGGUAUUAAGAAAAUUUAGAGUGCAAGGAAUGUCGGAUGCGAUCAUACCAGCACUAACGUACUGGAUCCUAUCAGAACUCCGUAGUUGAGCGAGCUUGGGAGAGAGUAGUACUAGGAUUGGUGACCCCCUGGGAAGUCCUCGCGUUGCAUCCCUCUUUUUAGGCAAAAUUCGUUUCUUACUUCUUUUAAUAUAUCGGCGGUAGAUCUAAUAAAUUUACAAAUAUAUUUUAAGUAGUGUAAACGAUAUUUGUUUUGCAGGAAAUAACAAGUUUUUUAAAGCUAAUAGUUAUGAAUAAAAUCAAAAAAGCAAUAUAUAGUAAAUUAGGAAAAUAUUUACGGGCUUAACAUUGUUGCACUUGACAUGUCACUACGCCUUGGCCUCGAAGGCGACAUCUCUAAAACGUCUAGUUGUGAUGUCGUAGUUCCAUGAGUCCUAGUGUGAUAGGCAUGUCGCUAGGCCUUACGGGCCCUCUAAUUGUGAUAUUAUCAUCGAGCGCGGCUCGUUGUUGUUGGUCAAUGCCUUUGCCCGCAAAAAAUAGUUGAAAUCAAAAGAGAAAUUGCGUAAAACGGAUAAAUAAGCGUAAAGUUGUCGUUUAAAGGUUUUACACCUUCGCACCUAAAGCGGAAAGAAGGAAAGGUAUUAAGAGAAUUUAGAGUGCAAGGAAUGUCGGAUGCGAUCAUACCAGCACUAACGCACCGGAUCCCAUCAGAACUCC
rnacentral:lncRNA from 1 species